UGUGGAGGGUGCCUGGGAAACAGGUUUGAAGGGAUUUUCUGCCUUGGUUGGUCCACUUCUUGAAGCUGAGAGUUUCUCCUCUGCUCUGCAGGUGCUGGAGGAGCUCCAGCCUGGAGUGCUGGGCACUAUGCUGGUAGUUGCAUUGAAAGCAGAAAAGGGUGCAAAGAAGAAAUAUGUAAUAAAGCAGGUUGAAUGCAUUGAAGAAAGCCAAGCAAAUGAGGCCUUGAAGGAGGCAACAGAUUUGCUAAAACUUCAUCAUUCAAACAUCUGUGCUUACCAGGAAUUGUUUAUAACUUGGGAUAAUAAGGUGAGAUUUGAAACAAACCUGCUGCUUUAACUCCUGAAUAAACAUACUGAAAAGCUGUGAAGAUACA
rnacentral:lncRNA from 1 species